rnacentral:misc_RNA from 1 species
AAAGUCGUAACAAGGUCUCCGUAGGUGAACCUGCGGAGGGAUCAUUACGAAGAGUUCAUUUUGGAGGUCGCGGGCUCGCCCGGGCACCUCCGGACUCCCAACCCUUUGGAACGCGGCUCAACUGUUGCCUCGGCGGACCAAGCGUCGGGCCCGAUCCGGUCCCGGUCUUGCGGGGUCCCUCCCCCGUUCGCGGUGGAGGACCGCCCCGGUUCGCGUCCGCCAGAGGACGAACCCAUCACCCGUCUCACCUGUUUUGACGUGUCAGCUUCUUAGUGACGAGCAAACGAAAACUAAAAAUAUCAAAACUUUCAACAACGGAUCUCUUGGUUCUG